CUAUAUAUAUUGGUGCAGGUUGAUAUCGUGUGUCAAGUAAGGUUAGGAAAAAAAGACCUAAACCGCGGCAAAUACAAACAAAUAGUCAGCUGAUAAGACAUGUUCUAUUGUUUCCUAAUCCUGUAAUUGUGUAUGUAUAUAAAUAUAUAGUAUUAAAUAAUAUUAUAAAUAUCUUUUUUAAAUAUAGAAAGUUUAUGUUACUAUGAUAAGAAUAUGAGUCUACAUAAAUAAAGUAAAUACAUAUAAAUAAAAAAAGGAACACUAUUACAUACACAGUUUUUAUUAAUUAUUCUUAUUUAUCCAAGCAAAACUUUCUAAUGCAAAUCACAUGUUUCUACUUGUAAGUAUAAAUAUGUGCACUUAUCUUAUACUUUAUUUUUGUCUGAAGAUUUUGUAUCUUUUGUAUCUUUUGUAAUUCCCUCGUCUAUCCUAACCUUACUUUCUGAUUCUGGCAUGAUGAAUUCAGACUUGCAAAUUUUAUAAAUUGUAAAAUUUUAGCAUUUAUUGAUUAAUAAAAUUAUUUUUGAUUUUAAUAUGGAAGAGAACAAUCAUAAUAAACAAAUAAAAAAAAGAAAAAUUGAAACAGAUUUAUUUAGUGAUGAAAUAACAAAGAAUAAACUUGUUUAUUUGGUUGUAAAAUGUGCAAAUUUUGCAGCAAUAAAACACAGUCGUCAACGACGACUUAAUAAAGAGAAAACCCCAUAUAUAAAUCAUCCAAUAGGUGUAGCAAAUAUUUUGGUGGAAGAAGGAGAGGUUUGUGAUCCAGCAGUAAUAGUAGCUGCUUUAUUACACGAUACAGUGGAAGACACGGAUACAACAUUUGAAGAAAUAGAAGAGCAUUUUGGUGCAAAGAUACGAAAGAUAGUUGAAGAGGUAACUGAUGACAAAUCAUUACCAAAACUAGAGCGAAAAAGAUUACAAAUCGAGCAUGCACCAAAUAGCAGUCAUGAAGCUAAGCUAGUUAAAUUAGCAGAUAAACUAUAUAACUUGAGGGAUUUAAAAAAAGAAAUACCAGAGGGGUGGUCAAUUGAAAGAGUAAAUGAAUAUUUUAAGUGGGCAAAGUUGGUUGUUGAUGGAUUAAAAGGUACAAAUAUAAAAUUAGAAAAGUUGUUAGAUGAUAUGUUUAUAAAACAUUCCGAGACCAAAGGAAAAUUGUAGUGAUGAUGUUACAAAAAUAGAUGCCAAAAAUAAUGAUAAAUUAGGCAACAGAUAUAUGUACAAAAGAUUUUAUAUAUAAAAAGUAACAGCAUUGUAGAGAGAUGCACGAAUACCACCAACUGAUCGAUGUCCCUUAAGUUGUAGCAUAUUAAGAGCAGCAGCACCAGCUACAAAGGCAUUUUCAAGUGCUUCAUCAUUCUUUAUUCUGAAUGGAAUAUUCAUUCUACUACGGCAUUUUUUGUCGAUUGGACAUAUAUAAAAACCAUUAGAUUGCUCUAUCACAUCAUAAAUAAGUUUGCUCUUCUUGUGGGCAAGUUCAGCCAUGCCUUCUACUCGUCCAUUUUUCUUUAUCCAUUCAAAAACUCUUCCAACAAAGUAAAUUCUUAAAAAAAGAAAAUGAAAAGUUAGCAAAUUCAAUAAAUAAAAUUAUCAAAAA